GUCGUGCUGGGGAGUGAGGCCUGGUAAGGCCUUGCCGACCUUGGGAGAUGGAGGUUGCCGGCAGUCGCUCCAGCGUGACUCUCUGUUGUCCCAAGGAGAGUAACACACAGAAAUGGCAGAAAAGCUGUAGACUGGCUCCUGGACACCUGAGAGGCAACUCAAUAGCCUAAGAGGCAUCAUGAGGCCAAAUAAAAAGUGUUGCUGCUCUUUCUGUAGCCCUGGUCCAUCCACUUCAGCUUCAAGUCAAAGCCAGGAGAGAGGAAAGUAAAGGACUAGGGCAAUGGACUGUCCCUGUUGCUCCAAAAUGUGCAUUUGAUAAGGAUUGCUUGGUUCACAGAAAAUACAGCUUAGUGGGAAUGCAAAGCCAC